rnacentral:rRNA from 1 species
CACGCAGUAAACGAUGAAUACCAGUUCUCCGCCGCGAUCGAGCGGAGGGGGACACAGCGAAAGCGUUAAGUAUUCCACCUGGGGAGUACGCCGGCAACGGUGAAACUCAAAGGAAUUGACGGGGGCCCGCACAAGCGGUGGAGCAUGUGGUUUAAUUCGAAGCAACGCGAAGAACCUUACCAGGUCUUGACAUCCCGAUGACCGCUCUAGAGAUAGAGUUUUCCCUUCGGGGACAUUGGUGACAGGUGG